rnacentral:rRNA from 1 species
AACAAACGCUGGCGGCGUGCCUAACACAUGCAAGUCGUACGAGAAAGUCGGCUUCGGCCGGUGAGUAAAGUGGCGCACGGGUGAGUAACGCGUGGAUAAUCUGCCCUCCGGUCAGGAAUAACCAAUCGAAAGGUUGGCUAAUACCCGAUCACACUCUUGCACUGCGGUGCAAUAGUCAAAGAUGGCCUCUGUAUACAAGCUAUCGCCGGGGGAUGAGUCCGCGUACCAUUAGCUGGUUGGUGGGGUAAUGGCCUACCAAGGCGAUGAUGGUUAGCUGGUCUGAGAGGAUGGCCAGCCACACUGGAACUGAGACACGGUCCAGACUCCGUACGGGAGGCAGCAGUGAGGAAUCUUGCGCAAUGGGGGAAACCCUGACGCAGCAACGCCGCGUGAGUGAGGAAGGCCCUCGGGUCGUAAAGCUCUGUCAGGUGGGAAGAAAUCGAUGAAGGUGAACAACCUCCAUCCUGACGUACACCAGAGAGCACCG